rnacentral:rRNA from 1 species
CCAAUAGCGUAUAUUAAUGUUGCUGCGGUUAAAAAGCUCGUAGUUGGAUCUCGGUUUCGGGCGCGCGGUGCACCUUGCGGUGUUUACUGUGUGCCCGGACGAUCUUGUUGGUUCGUUCAUAGUUCUCUUAAUCGAGUGCUAUGGGUGGCCAGCACGUUUACUUUGAAAAAAUUGGAGUGCUCAAAGCAGGCGCUACAGCC